UACGUAGGCAGCGAGCGUUGUUCGGAAUUACUGGGCGUAAAGAGUGUGUAGGCGGUGCUCUAAGUUCGGUGUGAAAUCUCCUGGCUCAACUGGGAGGGUGCGCCGGAAACUGGAGUGCUUGAGCGUGGGAGAGGAAAGCGGAAUUCCUGGUGUAGCGGUGAAAUGCGUAGAGAUCGGGAGGAACACCUGUGGCGAAGGCGGCCGGCUGGGGGUGCCCUGACGCUGAGGCGCGAAAGCGUGGGGAGCGAACCGG
rnacentral:rRNA from 1 species